GUUAUUGUUCAAAAUUAUUCUCGGCGGAGGACAUUUAUGUAGCAUCAGAGCACCAUGAUGUUCUAUCUUUCAAAGUCUUGGUUUUCCCACCUGCAGAAACUGAAAGUCUUCUUGUUUCUUUGGUCGUACUAGGAGUUUGUCCUGAAAGCAAAAGCAAGAGGAAAAAAACCAGGGUGCUUAGACAAGAACUGCAUCCUCACACGGCUUCAGGCGCUAUGAGGUGGCUGUACAAUGUGUGUUCCUGGAGUGUAAAAUAUAAAAAUAAAGUUGUUUGCUUAAGACUCUAGAUGUUCCAGACUUCUCAUCUGACAGUAAGAGUUGACUUUUUCUCUCUCAAAAUAUGUUGAUGAGGUCCAAUCGUAGGAACAUUAAGGGGAAAAAGUCCUCUUCUCCUUUCUUCCUUUGUCAGCCAGCCCACAGGAUCUUCCACCUCCUCCCCUGCUAGAGUUUCCAAGGCUCAUGUGGGCAUCUGCAGCACGGAAAGCAGAUGGCAGUUUUCUUGAUUCUGCUUGUUCUACUUUAACAGCCUCUUGACAAAAUGCUCCCCAGAAGAGGAUGCUGCAGGUGGGGUCAGCAUGAGAAAACAGCAGAAUCAGGUCAUCUGAGAACAAGAGAGUGCCGAAUACCAAAUAGAUAUGAAGACAGCUGAAAGGUAAAGCUCAGGAUGGAGACUUUAACGGG
rnacentral:lncRNA from 1 species